GGCAGGCUGAGGCAGGAGAAUUGCUUGAACCUGGGAGGCGAAGGUUCUGGCACAUAUUGAGCACUUGCUGAGAGGCAAAGUUCAGGCCUUCUGCCCCAGGCUUUUGGAGAGGGAGUCUCGGGGCCCCCUGAGGGGCCUCACCUGCACCCCCCGCACUCACCCAUCUCCCCACUCUAUCCCCUGUCCGCUCCGUACAUGCCCGGCUCCAGCACCCGGAGCAGUGAAAGCUCAGGCACUACCCGCCGCCCGCCAGCCCGAGGGCCGCUCACCCAGGUUCUGCCCUCGCAGCACCGCGUACGGCCGGCUCCGCUCCAGCGGAUCCACGGGGCUCGGGGCCUCUGCCUCCCCCACCAGGAGGCUGCAGAGGCCAAGGUACAGCCACGGUAACGCUGGACGCAGCAUCUUCCCCAGCCCUGCAGAAGCAGAGAGGCCACUUCCGUCGCAAGCCCUGCCUCUGUCUCCUCCCAGGUCUCUCUGCGUCGCUGCCACCGCCCUUAGGGCGCGCGUCAUUGCCAUGGUAACUGUGCGUCCUGGUCUAAGUUCCGCUUCUGCCUAAGAUUUGUUCCGGAUUAACGUUCCUCAAUAACUAAUGUUUCCCCCGGACCAACUUUCCGUUCAGAUCAACUUUCCGUCUGUGCCAACGUUCGCCGCGAUUACCGUUCUGCUGUGUACCUGUUUUAAGAAGAAACAACAAGGAAGUGAAACCAAAGACGGGCAGCCCGGCGCCAGGCCCGAAACCAGGCCUGGGCCUGCCUGGCCUAAACCCAGUUUCAUGUGUGUGAAGAGACCACCAAACGUGUGUGAAGAGACCACCAAACAGGCUUUGUUUACUUCAGGCCAUCUGGAUGUAUACGUGCAAGUCACAGGGGAUGCGAUGGCUUGGCUUGGGCUCAGAGGCCUCACACCCAGUAGCUAAAAAUCAACUCAUAACUUAGAAACCGAUGUUAUUCAUAGAUUCCAGACAUUGUAUAGAAGAACGUUGUGAAACUCCCUGCCCUGUUCUGUUUCUCUCUUACCACUGGUGCAUGCAGCCCCUGUCACGUACCACCUACUUGCUCAAAUCAAUCACGACCCUUUCAUGUGAAAUCUUUAGUGCUGUGAGGAGCCCUUAAAAGGGACAGAAAUUGUGCAUUCGGGGAGCUCGGAUUUUAAGGCAGUAGCUUGCCGAUGCUGCCAGCUGAAUAAAGCCCUUCCUUCUACAACUCGGUGUCUGAGAGGUUUUGUCUGCGGCUCGUCCUGCUACAAGACUAGAAGAGUAGCAUAUUAUAUUCAGUAACUGUUUGCUGAAUACAUGAGGGAAUUGAGCUAAGUGUUUGGCCCAACACUGCACACACAAAGUGGCAGAGCUAGAAUUUGACCCAAGCAUAGUUUUGAAUCUGGAGGCUUUACCACCUCACACAUUGCCUCACCUCCUGAAGGUUUGAUUUGUAGUGGGAUUAGUAUCAUUCACCUCACAAUGGAUGUGCAAUACAAAUGUCAGAGGCGUGUGAACCAGAGCAACUCCAUCUUAAAUAGGAGCUGGGUAAAAUGAGGCUGAAACCUACUGGGCUGAAUUCCCAGACGGUUAAGGCAUUCUAAGUCACAGGAUGAUAUAGGAGGUCAGCACAAAAUACAGGUCAUAAAGACCUUGCUGAUAAAACAGGUUGCAGUAAAGGAGCCUGCUAUAAACCACCAAAACCAAAAUGGUGACAAGAGUGACCUCUGGUCGUCCUCACUGCUACACUCCCAGCAGCGCCAUGACAGUUUACAAAUGCCAUGGUAAUGUCAGGAAGUUACCCUAUAUGGUCUAAAAGGGGGAGGCAUGAAUAAUCCACCCCUCGUUUAGCGUAUCAUCAAGAAAUAAUCAUAAAAAUGCCUAACCAGCAGCCCUCGGGGGCUACUCUGUCUAUGGAGUAGCCAUUCUUUUAUUCCACUACUUUAUUAAUAAACUUGCUUUCACUUUGCACUGUGGACUUGCCCUAAUUCUUUCUUGCGCUAGAUCCAAGAACCCCCUCUUGGGGUCUGGAUCGGGACCCUUUUCCUGUAACGUAUUUCUGGCAACCACAGAAGGGACUAUAGUGCAGAAACCUGACCCAAUGGCUACCUUUGGGUAAGUGUUGGGGUCCGUUAACACUACCAGGUGUUCACCUGCAAAGGGAAGGUGUAAUCUGCCAUGUUAAAGACACUGUGCACCAACUUCUUCAUUUCUUUCUCCACGAUCUCCUCUUUCACUUCUGCUGUCCUUUUCACCUUGCUGUGCACAGAACUGAUGACAGGCUCUUUCCACUGGUACAGCUUGCCACUCACCAGAGCAAAGCUAAAUGGCAGGCACAGGAAAGCAUCAAUGGGAGGCAUAGCACAGUGGGGUGGGAGGCAGGCUCUGCAGGCCACUUCCGUUCCAAUCCUAGCUCGGCUGCAUGACUUGCUUCCGUGUGACUCGUUUUCCCUCUCUGCACAAUGGGAAGCAUAAUCAUACCUGCCUCAUGAAUUGUGAGGAUCAAAUGAUAUAUGUCUGCAAACUCCUUUGCCCAGUAUCUGGCACAUACUGAGCACUCGCUAUAGGAAAGCUGCUGCCCCCAAUCUCAUUUUUUUUUUUUAAAUGGAGUCUUGCUCUGUCGCCCAGGUUGGAGUGCAGUGGUGUGAUCUCGGCUCACUGCAACCUCCGCCCCCUAGGUUGAAGCGAUUCUCCUGCCUCAGCAUUCUGAGUAGCUGGGAUUACAGGCGCACGCCACCACACCAGGCUAAUUUUUGUAUUUUUAGUAGAGACAGGAUUUCACCAUGUUGGGCAGGCUGGUCUUGAACUCCUGACCUCAUGAUCUGCCUGCCUUGGCCUUCCAAAGUGUUGGGAUUACAGGUGUGAGCCACCAUGCCCGGCCCCCAAUCCCAUUCUUUAACAUUGCCUAACAUGGACCCUCAUGGAUAGGACAGCUUCUCAAGUCAUAAAGUCCCACUCCAGUGGGUUCACCAGCUUGCACCUUCUAGUCAAAGGCUGUGUCUGGUGCAUUUCCAGAAACACCCACCUGCUUUAUCAAUAACAUUGAAAAUGGCAGCUACUC
rnacentral:lncRNA from 1 species